rnacentral:rRNA from 1 species
AGUGAACGCUGGCGGUAGGCCUAACACAUGCAAGUCGAACGGCAGCACAGUAAGAGCUUGCUCUUACGGGUGGCGAGUGGCGGACGGGUGAGGAAUACAUCGGAAUCUACUUUUUCGUGGGGGAUAACGUAGGGAAACUUACGCUAAUACCGCAUACGACCUACGGGUGAAAGCAGGGGAUCUUCGGACCUUGCGCGAUUGAAUGAGCCGAUGUCGGAUUAGCUAGUUGGCGGGGUAAAGGCCCACCAAGGCGACGAUCCGUAGCUGGUCUGAGAGGAUGAUCAGCCACACUGGAACUGAGACACGGCCCAGACUCCUACGGGAGGCAGCAGUGGGGAAUAUUGGACAAGGGGCGCAAGCCUGAUCCAGCCAUACCGCGUGGGUGAAGAAGGCCUUCGGGUUGUAAAGCCCUUUUGUUGGGAAAGAAAAGCAGCAGGUUAAUACCCCGCUGUUCUGACGGUACCCAAAGAAUAAGCACCGGCUAACUUCG